AAAAAGGUAAUUUAAAAUAAAAUAUUUUGUUUCAAACAUAACUAUAGGUAGUUGUUACCUCCUUUUUG